CCUACGGGAGGCAGCAGUAGGGAAUCUUCCACAAUGGACGAAAGUCUGAUGGAGCAACGCCGCGUGAGUGAUGAAGGUUUUCGGAUCGUAAAACUCUGUUGUAAGGGAAGAACAAGUACGAGAGGGAAUGCUCGUACCUUGACGGUACCUUGCGAGAAAGCCACGGCUAACUACGUGCCAGCAGCCGCGGUAAUACGUAGGUGGCAAGCGUUGUCCGGAAUUAUUGGGCGUAAAGCGCGCGCAGGCGGCCUUUUAAGUCUGAUGUGAAAGCCCCCGGCUCAACCGGGGAGGGUCAUUGGAAACUGGAAGGCUUGAGUACAGAAGAGAAGAGUGGAAUUCCAUGUGUAGCGGUGAAAUGCGUAGAGAUGUGGAGGAACACCAGUGGCGAAGGCGACUCUUUGGUCUGUAACUGACGCUGAGGCGCGAAAGCGUGGGGAGCAAACAGGAUUAGAUACCCUGGUAGUCCACGCCGUAAACGAUGAGUGCUAGGUGUUGGGGGGUUUCCGCCCUCAGUGCUGAAGCUAACGCAUUAAGCACUCCGCCUGGGGAGUACGGCCGCAAAGGGCUUGAAACGUUAAAGUUAAAGUUAGUACGGCGUUGAGACGNGCCGACGGACGACGACGAGGGGAGGAGG
rnacentral:rRNA from 1 species